rnacentral:rRNA from 1 species
UUGGGUGGCGGACGGGUGAGUAACGCGUAAAGAACUUGCCUCACAGCUAGGGACAACAUUUGGAAACGAAUGCUAAUACCUGAUAUUAUGAUUUUAAGGCAUCUUAGAAUUAUGAAAGCUAUAUGCGCUGUGAGAGAGCUUUGCGUCCCAUUAGCUAGUUGGAGAGGUAACAGCUCACCAAGGCGAUGAUGGGUAGCCGGCCUGAGAGGGUGAUCGGCCACAAGGGGACUGAGACACGGCCCAGACUCC